GUAGAUAGGUUGGGAGUGGAAGUGCCGUAAGGCAUGCAGCGGACCAAUACUAAUAAAUCGAGGGCUUAUCUUU
rnacentral:rRNA from 1 species